AUACUUCUGACCUAGUCUAAAAUCAAAUAUACUCUGGAUUUAGCCAAGAGAAAUGUAUUUAUUAUUCCAAUUGGACUCUUAAUAUCUCACCCGGCACAGCCAGAAGAGGACUGGUCACCCCUCUGAGCCUGGGUCCUCUCUAGGUUUCUUCCUAAAAUUCGACCUUCUUAGGGAGUUUUUCCUAGCCACUGAAAUUCAACACUACUGUUGUUUGCUCCUUGGGGUUUAAGGCCGGGUGUCUCUGUAAAGCACUAAAGCGCUAUAUAAAUAAAUUUUGAUUGAUUGAUUGAUUGAUGUGGCGCAUGGAUUGCGAUUAUUACCUAAAACCUACCGGUAACGUACUGCGCGUUCCAGCUUGCAGUGCAGCUGCAACUUUGCUUCAAUCGAAUCCUGGUUGAGGCGUAUUGACAGUGCAUGAGGCUCCAACAGAGGGUGGUGCGAAAUGUACACGGCCUGGAUUUGACAGAUGGAUGUCAAACACGGUUGCCUUGUCUCGCACCACAUGGGGCUUAAGCCAGGUCUAGUCUAUUAGGUUCCAAAGAUGCGUUGUUGAGCUGGGGGAUGCUGUUGCCUGGGUAAAUGCCACCACGGGCCUGUUCUGAGACGGUGUACAAGUCCUCACCCCUGAAUGAUGAGGAAAUACAGCUCUGCAGAUGCUCAGAGGCCUCAACUGUAGAGGAAGAACAAGAAGCUCUCUCCCAUUCAUGUUUUUGUUUAAUAAUUUUGAAGACACUGAAACAUUCAUAGACGAAAUAGACAAAAGAGGACUUAGUGAUAAUUUUGAGCUUCCCUGUUAAUUAUGUUUGUUGAUGAGGAUACCUAUUAGCUGUCUUUAAACCAUCAGCUAAUGCUGGGUUCCACACAACAAAAAUUACAAGCUCCAGAAAACACAAUAUAAUUUGACGAGACAAAGAGACAAGGAACAUCAUUUAUUUAGCAAGAGUAAACUGGACAGUGUUUUGGAAGUGUUCACCUGGCCAUACAACAUGAUAGGAUGAAUCCAAAGCCUACAGAAUCUGGGCAAAGCUGAAUACACAGUACAUAAAGAAACAGUUUAGUUUUGACAGUGUUGGAAUGUAAUGUUUAGAAUAUUUAAUGGGGUAAUUAAAUGUUUAAUUGUCUAACUGGCAUAUCAUUUAAUUUUGUAUUUCUUAGGUUAUGCCAUUAACUGGCCUAUAUUAAUUGACUUUCAAUAAUGUAUUUUGUGCUCUUUUUGACCUGUUCUACUUGUAAUUUAUGCUAUUGAAACAACUUUUAGGAUAAGGGUUGAAUUAGAUGUAACACAUAUUCCUCCCAACAAUGUUUUAAGUCCAUAACCAUAUCAUUACUAUAUAAUAAAAAUGGUGCUUGUUCCAGGCACCCCUGGAUAAAUGUAUUGUUCUGUAAACAGAUGUUGACCUGACCUCUAAAUUAUGCAAAUUUAAACUUGCCACCUUUCUGCAACAGGCUAUAGAAAAUUCCACACUUCCAGUUACCAAUUUCAACUUUCUAGAAGAUUGCUGUUCAAUUGAACAAUGCAAGUCAGAGGAAGGAGAAACCAUUACAAUGAUUUGUAUGAAAACUGGUCAGAUCUAUACAGCAGAACCCACAGGUCUCGGAAAAGGACCUUCAGAACAGUUUAGCUGUCACUGAAGUUGUUGCUCACAGGUCCACCGCACAGUGUACCUUACACAGUAUGUUCACAUUUGUCUAAUAUGUUGAAUCUAUGGAAAAUACAUAAAUGGUAAUACUGUAUAGCAUAGCAUAGCAUAGCAUCAUCUUCCGCUUAUCCGGGGCCGGGUCGCGGGGGCAGCAGUCUAAGCAGGGAAGCCCAGACUUCCCUCUCCCCAGACACUUCCUCCAGCUCUUCCGG
ensembl:lncRNA